AAUUUCACUCAAGGAAGAAUCUUUUAACACUUUCCAAAAUCAUGGCAAGUUCCUUCUGAACUCCAUCAUCCUUAUCACAAUUGGAGUGAAUGAGCUGCGUGAUCGGUUCGUUUGAUGUCUGAUUCUCCCGUAGACUGUAAGCUUCUAAGGCUGGGAGCAAGCCUGUCGGUUUUUCAUGCAACAGAUAUUUAUGGAGCCCGCGUGUGCCAGACCCCGUUCCUCCUGGUGGGGAUAAAAGAGGGAAUGGGACACCAAGGACUUUGGAGUGGACUUCCUCCACUGGUUCUGUGCCCCCAGCCCCUGGGAGUCCCUGGCAUUUACGCAGCAGAGCCUUACUGGUACCUCCCGGAUAAGAGGACGGUGGUGUGCGUCAGUGCGCCAGGUGAGGGUGAGUCACCUGCAGAGCUGCUGUCGGCGGCUGGAGAAAGAAGGCGCCGGGAGAUCAGAAUCCCACGGGCUCAGAUCUCGGCUCAGGUCAGCCUGUUUGUUAGCCUGAAGACAGAGGUUACAGAGGCCGUGGUGCCACUGGGCUCCUCCCCUUGCCCCCAGGCUUGGCCAGAUCCCCAAACCUUCCCUCCGUGAGGGAGCGGAGAGAACCUGGGCUUUAAUGAGGGACAGAUGUGCCGCCGGCCCUGGAGCCGCCCCUGCCCCGAGCGACAACUUCUCUCCAAGUCUCUAAACCUCAGUUUUCGUAGCUGGAGAUGCGAUGAUAAUAUCUACCCCCAAGGAGUUGUUGAAAGAUUGGAAAUGUCAUUUGCACAGCAUCUGGUACUUACGAAAUGGUGGGCGUCGUUUCCCAGGCCCCUCGGUUGGGACUUGACGCGAUUUUGUGCUAGAGCGAUAACUGCGCCUCGCAAAUCACAGCCCCACUCCUGCCCCUCCCUGCCAGUCACCUACGGCCGAGGAGUGACCCGGCCCGGCGGCCUCGCGCCCUCCCUGGGGAGAAGGAUGCGCUGCGCGCCGUGCUCUGUGGGCUCCUGCCGGCCCUGCUGGUGAGGGGCGAGGGCCCGCGAGCCCGUCCUCUGAGCACAGCCAGCCCAACUCCCUCAAUUCUCUUUCCUGCCCGUGGAAAUGGAACGUCUUGGAAUCUUCCCGAGUACUCCUUGGUUAGUCUCCUUUUCCUUCUUGGCCUGGAGGAAGGGAUGCACCGUCUUCACAAACAGACGCCCUCCCAUGCACCCCUCCUUCUCCCGGUCCCUGCCCACCCACUCUCCUCCCUCCCUUCGGUUCCUUCCAAACUGUCCUCCGCAUGGAACCUUGCGUGGGCCUUGUAUCCCCCCAGGGAGCCUUGUGCUGUACUUCCUGAGAUGUCCACGGUCACCUCAUCAAGGGUCACCUGGACUUCUUAUCCAAACACAGAGUCCCUGGCUUCUUUCCCACAUGCUGAAACAGAACGGGGGGCGGGCCUGGGAAUCUGGGUAACAUUUGAACAAUUCUCUCCUUUAAAAAACAUUUUCUUUAUACAUUUAAAAAUUAUACAAGUGCAAUAGCCAAGACAUGGAAGCAACGUAAAUGUCCAUCAACAGAUGAAUGGAUAAAGAAGAUGUGGUACAGCUAUACAAUGGAAUACUACUCAGCCAUAAAAAAGAAUGAAAUCAUGCUAUUUGCAGCAAUAUGGGCGGAUCUAGAGAUGAUCAUACUAAGUGAAGAUUUGGAGGGGCUCAGGCCUGGCUUUCAAGGUGUCUGCUGGGGGGUUGCCUCAGAGCUUCUUGCAUUCUGCUGAUCUGAAACAUAGAUGGUCAGAUAUUUCUCCAGCAAAGUUGGAUUUACUCAAGAUCAACAGAGAAUUGCAGCUUGGGGUCUGCAUCCAUGCCUGGUGCCAGCAACCUCCCCGCGGUCACUCGGAUUGGAAACGCCGCAGCUACGACCUCCUCUUUCUCUGUCACAUCCAACCAAGUGCAAAGCCCUCCACAGCAUCCCAGUUCAGUGUCUCUCCAAGACCCGGCCCUGCCUUCCCUGGGGCCCUCAGCAGCCUUGGCCAGGUGCCUACAUCUCCUCUCCGAUUCCGCUGUGAUUCUUGCCCUUCCACGUCUCUGUGUGCCCAAGGCACCGCUUCCCUGAUCAAAUCCCCUACGGCACCCCACUGCCUGCAAAUACCCUAGAGCUUCUUAGAAGAAUAUAGGAAGCUCUCCA